rnacentral:lncRNA from 1 species
GAACCCAGGAGGUGGAGCUUGCAGUGAGCCAAGACUGUGCCACUGCACUCCAGCCUGGACAACAGAGCGAGACUCUGUCUCAAAAGAAAGAAAAAACAUUCAAGCUGUUAUUACUUCACUUGAACCUGGGUUUACAUUCUCACCUGCCAAGCACUAUUUGGCCAGCAUCACCACAACUACCUGGAUAUAUCACCCUGUUUUUGACUUGAAAUCUAUUUUAUAUGACACAAAUGCAGCUACUUUUGCCUGUUGUACUUUCCAUUAGAAUGGAAUAUCUUUUUCCAUCCCUUUACUUUUAGUCUGCAUGUCUUUUACAGGUGAAGUGAAUUUCUUAUAGGUAGCAUAUAGUUGGGUCAUUAAAAAAAAAAAAAAAACCCGUUCCGUCAGUUUUUUCCACUCUUAAGUGAAAAAUUUCAUCUGUUUACAUUCAAGAGUGUUAUUGAUAUGUGAGGACUUACUUCUGUCAUUUUGUUAACUGUUUUCUUGUUGUUCUAUAUAAUUUUUGUUCCUAUCUUUCUUUCUUUCUUGUUUAUCAUUGCAGUUUGGUGAUUUUCCGUAGUGAUAACAUUUGAGUCCCUUCUCUUCCUCGUUUGUUUGCUUUACCAAUGAGUUUGAUAGUUUUGUGUUUUUUCAUGAUAGUAGAUAAUCACCCUUUUGCUUCCAGGUGUAGAACUCCCUUAGGCACUUCUUGUAGGGCUGGUCUAGUUUUUGCUUGUCUGGGAAAGACUUUGUUUCUCCUUCAUUUAUGAAGGACAGCUUCGCUUGGUAGAGUAGUCUUGGCUGCCAGUUUUCUUUUCUUUCUUUCAGCCCUUUGAAUGUAUCAUCCCAUUUUUUCCUGGCCUGUAGGGUUUCUGCUGAAAAAUUGGCUGUCUGAUGGGGGUUCCUUUAUAUGUGACUUUUCUCUGGCUGUUUUUAGAAUUCUCUCUUUGUCAUUGACUUUUGACAGCUUGACUAGAAUGUGCUGUGGAGAAAACUUGUGGAGUUACAUCUAUUUGAGGAUCUCUGAGCUUCCUGUAUCCUGUAUCUGGAUGUACACUUGGUACACUUGGGAAGUUUUCAACUUUUAUUUCAUUAAAUAGGUUUUCUAUAACUUUGGUCUUCUCUUCAUCUUCUGGAACACCCACAGUUCAGAUAUUUGCUCACUUUUUUCUUCUUUUUUCAUACUUCUCCUUUUCUGUUGCUUUUCUGUCUCCCUUCCCCUUCCCCUUUCUUUCUCUCUCUCUCUCUCUUUUUUUUUUCUGGCUUGUUUCAAAAGACCUGUCUUCAAGUUCUGAAAUUCUUUCUUCUGCUUGAUCUAGUCUACUGUUGAAGCUCUCAAGUGUAUUCUUUUAAAUUUCAUUCCUUAAAUUCUUUAGUUCCUGGAUUUCUCUUUGGUUUCUUUUUUAAGCUAUCUAUAUCUCUGGUGAAUUUCUUAUUCAUAUCCUGAAUUUUUAAAAUUUCACUGUAUUGUUAAUCUCAAUACAAUUAAGUAAUUGUUAAUGUGUUCUCUUGUAUCUCACUGAGCUUCAUUCAUAUUAUUAUUUUGAAUUCUUUUUUCAGCAUUUUAUAAAUUUGUUUUUCAUUGGAAUCUAUUACUGGAAAAUUACUGGUUUUUUCUGGAGGUGUCAUACGUCCUUGCUUUUUCUUGUUUCUUGUGUCCUUACUUUGACAUCUGUGCAUCUAUUUUAACAGUAACUUCUUCCAUUUUUUUGGAUUGGUUUUGAUAGGGAGAGACUCUUUCCUAAAGAUGUAUCUAUGGUGUUGGGUAGAGCACUUUAGCUUUGCUUCUGGGUGCAUGCAGUAGUGUAGUCUCCAUAUGAUUUCUUCUAGUGUAAAAAGCAUUGGUGGUGUCUGUGAUUUCCUCAGUGACUUAGGCUGUAGUUGUUAGUGGAGGCUGUGGUGAGGUUUUACUGAGGAUGGGGAUGCCAGGUUAUCAGUCCUUAUGCCCCAGUUGCGAGCCAAGUGUGUCUUUCCGUGGGCCUCCAGAUGUAUGUGAACACCAGCAUUGGGGGUCCAAACGUGCCGAUUCUUGGACCGCCAGGAGUCCCUUGCUAUAGUGCUGGCAGUGACAGUGGUAGGCUGGGUGUGUGGCUGAGUCUAUGAACCCCUGGAUAAUGUAUGUGGCAUAGGCAAUGGCAGUAGCAGUGGUGACACAACACUUGGACUCUGAAACAGCAUAUGUUGGUGUUAGCGGUGGCUGCAACAGGCUUGGGAGGUGGUGCAUGUGGGGGUGGGAGAGCCGCUGAGGUAGUAGGGGAGCUGCUGAGGUAGUAGGGGACGGCUGGGUAGACCCAUCCAUAGGUGCCUGGGAGGAGUCCACAGAUGCCAGUGGUGGUGAAUGAGGCAGGGCAAUCCCCAUACCCCCAGGUAGUGUGCUUGAGCAUGGCAGGUGGGGGUUGUACCAGGCCAGGCAGGCCUGUCUUCAGGCCUCCUGGUGGUGUCCUCAGGUGCUGGCUGUGUUGGGCAGGGCAGGGUGCUCCCCAGACCCCUGGUGGAAUGUUCUGGUGGCUGCAGCAGCAGCAAUGGUUGGGGGAGCCUGUCCUUAGGGCACAUGCAACUAUGUAGCAGUGGCCCUGCUGUUGGCAGGUGGAGUCACUGCCAGUGGCAUAUGCUUUGGUUUCCCAGUGGCAGCAGCAGUGGCUGCAGUGGACAGUGGCAGAGCCUGUCCUCAGGGCAUGUGCACAGCAGCUCCUCUGCUGGGGGCAGUUGAGUUGCUGCUUGUGGUAGCUCUCCCAGGUAGGCAGUUAUCAGGCCUCAGGGAACAUGCAUUUUUGAUUCCCUUUGUCCCAGGGGUAGCUUCCCUGGUCCACUGCACCACUCAUUCCCCAGGGUGUAGGACACUGUGUGUGUUAGAAUGCUGGGAACCCUGGUAUUCUGCUGGGUCCAUUUGGUAUUGUGCUCCUGUAGACCUCUGGGUGUACAUGGGGGUAUAUCAGUAGCGCUCCAGGCAUGUGGAGAUGCAGGGGCCAUUUUGCCCCAGGGUAGAAUGCAGUCUGGUGUGGGCUGGGCUUGCAAAACGGUGCCAUGCUAUAGCUGCUUAGGACUCAGGGAGCACAUGGGACCCAGCAUGCGUUCUCCCCCUUGAGCAAUGCUGUUGCGUGGUCUCUAGGCAGCUCCCUAUGUUAGGUCUCUGGGCCCAUGAAGAUCCAGGGGCUGUCCCAUGGCUAGGGUUGCAAGUCUGUAGUGGGAAUGUGGACCACUGGGGAUCUCUCACUGGGGAUCUCUCCCUUUCCCCACACUAGCCUCUCUGGGCACCUAGCCAAUCCUGGCUGAGCCAGUUGCCUAAUUUCCCUCUCCUUCCAUGCCUCAACUGUUUCCUGUCACUUCUCUGUUGAAUUCUAGUGUUCUCUUGGAUGCUCUAUUCAAAUGCCUCUAGUCAGCCAUUUUGAAGCCUUCCCCUAGGUCUCUUUUUCCCAGGCUUAUGUCCCUAAGCUGCCUCAGCUGACCAAGUUUCUAUUAAAUAAUAAUAUAUUUUCUCUUGGAUGAUUAGGACUCAUCCAGAUGGUCUUACCCCUUCAAAAUAAUUGCAAACAAGAUUAAAACUGCAUUUAGGAACUAUUCUAGUUGGCUUAUGCCUUUCUCUGAUGACUCAUACCACCAACUAGGUAUAAGUUUUUAAGGGAUCUCUUACUUUAUCUCACUUUCUUCUGGGAACAGCUUCCAAUUUCUUCCUCAAUAUACACUCUGUUCCCUUCUCCCAGCGAUAUGAUUUCUGCUGCUGUAUGA